rnacentral:rRNA from 1 species
UACAGAGGGUGCGAGCGUUAAUCGGAAUUACUGGGCGUAAAGCGUGCGUAGACGGUUUUGUAAGUCGGAUGUGAAAUCCCCGGGCUCAACCUGGGAAUUGCAUUCGAGACUGCAAGGCUUGGGUGCGGAAGAGGGAAGCGGAAUUUCCGGUGGAGCGGUGAAAUGCGUAGAGAUCGGAAAGAACACCAACGGCGAAAGCACUCUGCUGGGCCGACACUGACACUGAGAGACGAAAGCUAGGGGAGCGAAUGGG